UACGUAGGGUGCAAGCGUUAAUCGGAAUUACUGGGCGUAAAGCGUGCGCAGGCGGUUUGGUAAGUCCGUUGUGAAAGCCCCGAGCUCAACUUGGGAAUUGCAGUGGAUACUGGCAGGCUGGAGUACGGUAGAGGAAGGUGGAAUUCCCGGUGUAGCAGUGAAAUGCGUAGAUAUCGGGAGGAACACCAGUGGCGAAGGCGGCCUUCUGGACCAGUACUGACGCUCAUGCACGAAAGCGUGGGGAGCAAACAGG
rnacentral:rRNA from 1 species